rnacentral:lncRNA from 1 species
AGUAACUCUGAGAUGUCUUCAGGAUUAAGAACUCCUGGUGGGGAAGACUACCCAAGGUGCCAUCACAUGAGGGCUUUGUGGAUGUUUUUCUAAAGAUGCUAUUUCAACCCCAGAAUCACCAACCAGAGCAGUCCAAGGACAUCUGCAUUAAGCCAGUGGAUAACUUAAUGUAAAAGCUCCCUCAGUCUGGCUACAAAGGACCCGGGAG